GUGAUUUUCACACUAUUAAUUAAUUAUAUCAUUUUCUAUUUUUACAUGAAAAUGUGGACAAAUAUGACUCAAAUUUUAAAGUUUGUUUAUGUUAUAAUUAUUUUUCUUUUCAUUUGUAUCAUUAUGACAGAAGGAGUUUAUUUUUGCCAAAAUGAUGAAGAUUGUCCUAAAUCUAGGUGUCUUCCAUAUGAACUUCCAAAGUGCAUGAGGAUGAUUUGUGAGUGUGUGGAAACAGUGUUCGAUGCAAAAAAUUUAAAUUAAUAUAUAUAUAUAUAUAUAUAUAUAUAAUUGUGUUGUUUAAUGUAUAUCAAAUAUUGUAUAAGGUAAAAAAAUUUCCACCGCCUUAAA